rnacentral:rRNA from 1 species
UGCCUACGGGAGGCAGCAGUGGGGAAUAUUGCACAAUGGGGGAAACCCUGAUGCAGCGACGCCGCGUGAGUGAAGAAGUAUUUCGGUAUGUAAAGCUCUAUCAGCAGGGAAGAAAAUGACGGUACCUGACUAAGAAGCCCCGGCUAACUACGUGCCAGCAGCCGCGGUAAUACGUAGGGGGCAAGCGUUAUCCGGAUUUACUGGGUGUAAAGGGAGCGUGGACGGCGGAACAAGUCAGAAGUGAAAACCCGGGGCUCAA